rnacentral:lncRNA from 1 species
UUUUUUUUGGUCAAAGAUUGAGUUUGUAUUUAUCUUAUCACAAAGUUGUCUUGGAAAUUUAGCUCUCAUCAGAGAGCAUAUUAUGGUGAUAACUCCUUAUAUCAUUAUAGCCCUUAAUUCUCUCACCUCAACCGUGUUAGGAUCUUCUAAAUUUUCUCUUGAUUUCUCCUCUCCCCUACUAUAGUUUUAAAUAGUACUCCCUCCUGUCCUUAUUAUAAGAAACAAUUGAUUUUUUU